GUGGGGAAUAUUGGGCAAUGGGGGCAACCCUGACCCAGCGACGCCGCGUGAGGGAAGAAGGCCUUAGGGUCGUAAACCUCUGUUGUGUGGGAAGAAGGAAGUGACGGUACCACACGAGGAAGUCCCGGCUAACUACGUGCCAGCAGCCGCGGUAAUACGUAGGGGACGAGCGUUGUCCGGAAUUACUGGGCGUAAAGGGCGCGUAGGCGGUCAUUUAAGUCAGCUGUGAAAUGGUCCGGCUCAACCGGAUCAUGCGGUUGAAACUGGAUGACUGGAGUGCUGGAGAGGCAAGUGGAAGUCCCAGUGUAGCGGUGAAAUGCGUAGAUAUUGGGAAGAACACCGGUGGCGAAGGCGACUUGCUGGCCAGCAACUGACGCUGAGGCGCGAAAGCCAGGGGAGCAAACGGGAUUAGAAACCCCGGUAGUCC
rnacentral:rRNA from 1 species